UACAGAGGGGGCAAGCGUUGUUCGGAAUUACUGGGCGUAAAGGGUGUGUAGGCGGUUCUUUAAGUUUGGUGUGAAAUCUCCCGGCUCAACCGGGAGGGUGCGCCGAAUACUGAGGGACUAGAGUAUGGGAUGGGAAAGUGGAAUUCCUGGUGUAGCGGUGAAAUGCGUAGAUAUCAGGAGGAACACCUGUGGUGUAGACGGCUUUCUGGACCAUAACUGACGCUGAGACACGAAAGCGUGGGUAGCAAACAGG
rnacentral:rRNA from 1 species